UUUUUUUUGUUUGUUUGCUUUUUUGUUUUUUGUUUUUUUUUUACUUGAACCAAAGUCUGAGCCCAGCAGCCCGCGGAGGCGGCGGGUCCGAGCGGAGGAUUUGUUGGAAAGCAAGAGUCAGUUGUUAACAACCGCUUAGGAAGACAAGAUGACAGGAAGAUAAAGGGAGAAUGCUCCAGGAGCUGAAAGAUGGAGGCCUUGAUCCAUUCUGAGAGCAGUGCUUUCUGCUAGAGAGGCUGAAGAUGUGUGCCGUGAGACAGAGACCUGCUGAGGCAAACUUCGAUAUUUCGCCUUUCCACACUGUGAGUGCUGGACAACUUGCCCAACACUACAGCCUUUCAUGGGGUGAUGAAGGUGCCUCAGUCAAAAAGAGUCCUCAGUGUUUUGUUGUCUUCUGGAAAUAAAGGGAAAACUCUGAGAAGUCUGCCUUUUUCAUCAAUAACUUGUGAAAGUCCUUUGUGUGAUUGAUUCCAUUCUGAAAGAGUUCAAGACCCGCAGAGAGCGCCCACCAGAGCUCCAGGAGCACUAGAGUGCUGGCUGGCACAGCAAAGAUACAAGGGUGGGGGAACAACCAUUACAAGCAUUAGCAGCAUUUUCACUGCACGGUAUUUUGUUCUUUUGUCAGUUAUUUUACCUUGUUUAAUUCAUGGAGAAGAAGACGGGAAAUGAUAAUGAGGGCUAAGGACAAUAGGACUGUCUUGAGACACCUAAUACCACUCUCAGUGGGCAGAUAGAUGAUAUUAAAGGAGGAAUAAAAAUUACAUAUUUCAAAGCAACUCUAAACUUCAGCGAAUUGGAGAACCUUUCUGUUACAUUUGUGGGCGUAGUCUCAUCUGCAAGGUAUUUAAAUGCCUAGUACCCCUUUAGCACAUAACUUCUGCUCAUUUAGCUAUUAAAGUUGUUUUGUUGAUUUUAGUCUUUAACCUUCAGCCUAAUUGACAGAAAUAGAAUACCAUGGGCAUCUUUGCAAUGUAAAAGGGUAAAGUGUCUGAAAGUAAGUUUCUCUCUUUCCUACCACCUCCAGUAUAAACCCUUUCUAAAUGAUCUGUGCACUUUCAUAUUUCAACUUUCUUACUUACGCUGCAUGAUAGAUGGAACUGCUAACUUUAAAAUUAGUCAUCCUAAUGUGCAAAGCACUGGAAAAAGAUGGAUGUUUUGAACAUAACAGGCUUUGCAUUAAACUCCAGCACAGAUUAGAUGAAUUGUGGAAUUAUGCCUAAUACUCUUAAGGGGUUUUAGUGAUCAAACACGCAGUAGACCCAAGCUGACAUUAGGUCUGACACAUCUAAGGUAUACAUAACAGAGAUCCAGGGCCUUACAGAUUUAUAGCCAAACUCUUACAAUGUAAAAAUGUUGACUGAAAAUACUCAUGUUUUUCUAUAGUCAGCAGUAUCUCCAGUGGCAUUUCUGGACAGUUCUGAGACUGUUCUGUGCCUUCAUAGUCCACAUACAGCAUGGCAUACAUCCCUGCUGCCAUACCGUGUAGUUCUCUUACACUGUAAGUAGACUAGACUGUCACUUGCUUAUUGUUGAUGUACUAAAAGUAUUUCUGCCUUCACCAUAGGACAUUGACAUGAAGUCUUCUGUGAUAAAUUAUGAACUUAAAUAAAUAUAUAAUAUUAUAUAUAAUAGGAGAUUUAAAACAAUUUGGUUUAUGGACCAAGAUAAGGAAAGGUACCUAAAGCCCAUGGCGUCUCAGACAGAUAAACUCCUGCCUGAAGGUUCCUGCCUCUGUCCAGGAGUUAGUUAAACACUAGUCAGUUAAAGUUAAGUGAGAUUAAUCUCAUCCAUGGCAUGGAGGGCAGCUACAGCACAGCUUCAGAUCCCUCAAGUUGGGAAGUGUUCCUCAUGCUUGCAGAAGAAUCUGAGACCUUUGGUUGCUGUCAGAAGUCAUUGGGAAUAGUUCAAUACAGUUCAGUACAGUAAGUCGUGAAAAAGCUGGUAAGUUUGAGUUUCAAACAAAUUAACUUUAAGCCAGGAACUGGGUGUGAUUUUUCACAGCAAAGGAUGAAAUUAUACAACCAUUUUAACUAGCAGUUAGGCUGCAUGAAACAAUAGUUUUGUUUGGCAUUACAGACUAUGAAUUUGUGCGGUUUAGAUGUUUCUAAACAGUUUUAUUACAUUCUACAACCUUAUUAUGUAAGGAGAAACAAUUGAAGAGACAAAUAUGCAUUGGGUUUAUACAGCAAGGUUUUGGUAGUGGGGGGCUAAAGGUGUUGCGUCUGUGAGAAGACAUCAGAAGCUGCUCCUAUGUCAGACACAGCCAGAUCCAGCUGAUCCACGAUGGACUUGCCAUUGUCCAAGGCCAAGCCAAUCAGUAACAGUGGAAGCACCUCCGUGAUAACAUAUAUAAGAAAGGAAAAAACUGCCGUGCAAAAGCAGGUGAGAGAGAAGAAUGUGAGAGAAACAACUCUACAGACACCAAGGCUUGUGAAGAAGGCCCUCCUUCAGCAGGUGCUCCAGGCACCAGAGCAGAGAUUCCCCUGCUGUCUGUGGAGAGGACUAUGGUGACACAGAUUAUUCCUUGCAGACCAUGGGGAUCCAUUGUGGAGCAGAUCCACCUGCAAUAUGUAAAGGACCCCAUGCUGGAGCAGGUGAAUGUGUCCUAAACAAAGCUGAGACUCAUGAAGAGCCCAUGCUGGAACCUCUGGCAGGAUCUGCAGCCCAUGGAGAGAAGCUCAAACAGGAGCAAGUUUACUGGCAGACCUGUGACCCAGUGGGGGACCCUCGCUGGGGCAGUCUGUUCCUGAAGGACAGCACCCAGUGGAAAUGAUCCGUGCCAGAGCCAUUUUGGAAGAACUACAGCCCCGUGGGAAGGAAACAAGUUUGUGAAGGACUGUAUCCCACGGAUGAGACCCCAUGAUGGAGCAGGAGAGGUGUGUGAGGAGGAAAGAGGAACAGAGAUGAAGCGUUACAAACUGACUGCGACUGAUCCAAUUUCUCAUCCCACUGCAUCGUUUAAGGAGGUAGAAGAGUUGGGAGUGAAGUUGAGUCUGGGAAUAAAGGAAGAGUGGGGAGAAGGUGGAUUUUUUUCAAUUUGUUCUUAUUUCUCAUUAAUCUACUCUGCUUAACUUGCAAUAAAUUAAAUUAUUUUUUUCCAAAGUCCAGUCCGUUUUCCCUGUGACAGUAAUUGGUAAGUGAUCUCCCUGUCCUUGUCUCGACCUGUGAGUUCUUCAUUGCAUUUUCUCCUCUGUACUGUUGAGGAGCAGGCAUGGUAGAGUGCCUUGGUGGGCAACUGGCAACAGGCCAAGGUCAACCCACCACAAAAUAAUAAAGAAAUUGUUUCCUGAACCCGAGACUGGGCAAAAUAGAUGUCAGACAGGAGACAGAUAACUAACUUAUAGGGGAUGGGAACAAAGUCCCCAAAAUGCCAAGGUCCCAUCUAUGCACAAGGAUACAUCAGUGUAAUUAGAUGUGUGAUGAAAUUGUUUAGUUAACAAUAUGAAUCUGAUGAAACCAGUUUUAAACUUGCAUAACAUUGUCUGUACUUAAGAUACACUAGUUUAACUAAUUUAAAAGUGCAGACAAUCCAGUACAAUGUGAUGGCGCAGCUGACGAAUUUCAGAUGAAUGUAAAACCAUCUUUAAACAGUGGUUUUCCUGGUAAAUUUCAUGAGAAGUUGUUCAGUCAAAGAUGUCUGUGUUUAUUUCUUUUUUUUUUUUUUGUAUUUUAAACCAUCUCACUCUUCAUUCACUCUUCAUUACUUGUAUAUUCACCUGGAGUACUCUAUGAGUUCUGAUUAUUCAGUCCGUGUGAACCAGGAUAGACGUGACUGUAACAUCUGAAUAAAGAAAUUGGAACAUCUGAAUUAGGCUUCCCCCUUGCAGGAACACUUGUCAGUGACUGAACUGAUCCAUUUUCCCUGUGAACUGGUGCAAUAAGGAAUUUUAAACAUAUGCCACUGCAGUGCAUUUCAAAUGCUGUUAUUUCAACAACUUUAUGUAGAAGCCUCAAAUGUAUUUAACU